GGGUAUAGCUCACAUGGCAGAGCGUGUGCUUAGCAUGCGCAAGGUCCUGGGUUCAAUCCCCAGUACUUCCA
rnacentral:tRNA from 1 species